CCAGGAAGUUGUAGAGCGUGGUGUCGCGCAGGUCGUUGGUCACCCGGCUGUUGUGGAUGGCGUACAGGCGCUCCGAGUAGCCCUGCGGGAAGUAGAGCGCUGUGGAGGCGGAAUGGAUCACGGAUCACAGUGGAUUUGCCCUCCUUCUGCCUGCCACGGGCAUGGUCGCAUAUAAGGCGUGAGCGAAGAGAGGAGAGGCCAGGCACAAGUUGAGGUGUCCCCAUUCCGGUGCAUCCCCUGCCCCCGGCGAAAGGCAAAACCCCAGCUUCGGCUCAGCCAGAUUGAAGCAGUCGCUCGGAAAGGGCAGAGCUGGAGGUGGAGGUGGAGGGAGAGCAGGUACAAAGUCGUUAGCACUUUGCCUGGUGUGAAGUUACCCAAGUCAACGAGGGCCAGCCCAGUCGGCCAACUCCAUCCCCAUCUCCGGCUUCGGCCAGCCUUGUUACACGGCAGGCCGGACAGCUGGACAGCAGGACAGCCAGAAGCCAGACGUUUAACACGGCCAACAAGUGAACGGACAAAAGAGCGGACGCUGGUUCAGUGCUGUCCCUUGGGCUUCUUUCUCCCCAACUGAGUUCGGUCAGCCUGUGACACCUGACCUAGAGGGUGCUGGCCCAUUCGUACUUCAGCAGACUGGCACAACCCAUUAAUCCUGUCUGCUACUCCUACCGAUGAUAACGAUCACCAAUUGAGUGGCAGCAGAGGUGGGAGGAAGAAGAGAAGGAGGAGGAGCAGCAUGAGGAGAAGGUGGAGAGCCAGACAACAGGCGGAUAACAACGCCUGUCUCCAAGUGGGCUCAAGUGCCGCAGGAG